rnacentral:rRNA from 1 species
UACGAAGGGGGCUAGCGUUGUUCGGAAUCACUGGGCGUAAAGCGCACGUAGGCGGAUCGUUAAGUCGGGAGUGAAAUCCCAGAGCUCAACUCUGGAACUGCCUUCGAUACUGGCGAUCUUCGAGUCCGGGAGAGGUGAGUGGAACUCCGAGUGUAGAGGUGAAAUUCGUAGAUAUUCGGAAGAACACCAGUGGCGAAGGCGGCUCACUGGCCCGGUACUGACGCUGAGGUGCGAAAGCGUGGGGAGCAAACAGG